CUGGCUGGUAGCGCCAGUAUCGGUUCAACGUCAGAACCGUACGCGUCUUAUUUCGUAAGAGUUUCUUUAGAGCGUUGUGUCGUAUUUGCGCCGGAGUCACAACAAUAAAACUAUUCAUACGUCACAAUCAUUGGCGGCCAACGCGCCACAAAUUCUUGUAAAAUUAACAAUCGAUCGUGUUUAGAGUUACAUAUUUAUUUGUAAAUUCGUUAUUUUCGCGAAGCAAAAAAAAAAAAAAGACAAAAGUCCCCAAAGUGUUGCUUAUUAAAACUCGAGGAAUCAAACAAUUAUACCAACGGUAAUUUGAGCCAGAGAAAACCAAAAAAAACAAUAAAUGCGGAUUUUAGAAGCCAGCGCUUUGAAGCCGUCAAUUGAAAAAGUUAAAUUGCAAAAAUGUUCGCCGAGACAAAUGACAGUUGGCAAGAAAAUUUCAUGCAAGUGAUUUAUUGAAUUUUGAAUGGUGAAUUUCAUUAAAAAUUA